UGGGGAAUCUUCCGCAAUGGACGAAAGUCUGACGGAGCAACGCCGCGUGAGUGAUGACGGCCUUCGGGUUGUAAAGCUCUGUUAAUCGGGACGAAUGGUUCUUGUGCAAAUAGUGCGAGGAUUUGACGGUACCGGAAUAGAAAGCCACGGCUAACUACGUGCCAGCAGCCGCGGUAAUACGUAGGUGGCAAGCGUUGUCCGGAAUUAUUGGGCGUAAAGCGCGCGCAGGCGGAUUGGUCAGUCUGUCUUAAAAGUUCGGGGCUUAACCCCGUGAUGGGAUGGAAACUGCCAAUCUAGAGUAUCGGAGAGGAAAGUGGAAUUCCUAGUGUAGCGGUGAAAUGCGUAGAUAUUAGGAAGAACACCAGUGGCGAAGGCGACUUUCUGGACGAAAACUGACGCUGAGGCGCGAAAGCCAGGGGAGCGAACGGGAUUAGAUACCCCGGUAGUCCUGGCCGUAAACGAUGGGUACUAGGUGUAGGAGGUAUCGACCCCUUCUGUGCCGGAGUUAACGCAAUAAUACCCCGCCUGGGGAGUACGACCGCAAGGUUG
rnacentral:rRNA from 1 species